rnacentral:rRNA from 1 species
AGUGAACGCUGGCGGUAGGCCUAACACAUGCAAGUCGAACGGCAGCACAGUAAGAGCUUGCUCUUACGGGUGGCGAGUGGCGGACGGGUGAGGAAUACAUCGGAAUCUACUUUUUCGUGGGGGAUAACGUAGGGAAACUUACGCUAAUACCGCAUACGACCUACGGGUGGAAGCAGGGGAUCUUCGGACCUUGCGCGAUUGAAUGAGCCGAUGUCGGAUUAGCUAGUUGGCGGGGUAAAGGCCCACCGAGGCGACGAUCCGUAGCUGGUCUGAGAGGAUGAUCAGCCACACUGGAACUGAGACACGGUCCAGACUCCUACGGGAGGCAGCAGUGGGGAAUAUUGGACAAUGGGCGCAAGCCUGAUCCAGCCAUACCGCGUGGGUGAAGAAGGCCUUCGGGUUGUAAAGCCCUUUUGUUGGGAAAGAAAAGCAGCAGGUUAAUACCCCGCUGUUCUGACGGUACCCAAAGAAUAAGCACCGGCUAACUUCGUG